GGCUGACCAGAAUUACAAACACAUUGUCGCAGCAGUCUUGCAACAAUCAUUGUUGAAAAAUUUUUUCCCCUAAGUUUUUAUGCUAUUAUCUUUCUGUUGGAAACAUGAGAAGUGAUCUCAUGUCAACAGUGUGAUGAUUGUUACUGCAAAUCUGCAGAAACUGGUGAGCUGUCCGACAGGCUGCUAACUACUCGUCUUGAGUAUUUGAUCUCAUACAACUGUCAGAUUGUACAAAAAAUUUAUUUUGAAAAGAAGUGCAGAAUGCUAAAGUUUCCUCAGUAUGGAGAUGAACAGUGUAGCAAAUCCAGGUCACCUAACCUGCAUCCCAUGAAAUCUCUAACGACCAGUUUACGUAGAUGAUUUGAACCAUUUAACCAAAGGGCAAUAAAAAUCGACAUGGCUUUUUAAAAAUAUGUUGCAAUAUGCAUCUUACGCUUCCAAUUCCGGAUUGUGUUCCCGCAACAGGAUGGUUGAGCACGUUUCUCAGUGAUUUUGCUUUAUGUUACUUCUUAUCUGUUUUAAUAUUUACUUUUCUUUGUAAAUGUGUGGUUUUAUUAGCUUUUAAGUUCUAGAAAAAAUUACACAGAGAUCAGUGUUGAGGGGUGGGGGAGGGUAGUAUGAUGUAAAUAUGAAAAUAAUUUGUUCGGUAGAUUGGGGUAGGUGGUGCCAAUCAAACCGUAACUUGCGUGGUGGCAAUGUUUGAUUAGGGAGUUGGUUGAUUUAGUAAAGUUUCCAACUUUUGUAGGCUGAAGGUGAGGUAGGGUAGAUUCAAGGAUAACGAACGUUAACAUCAUUUACCCUGACGCAUCUACCACAUGUUUCUUUCUUGCAAUAGGUAAAUGUGUGUAAGUGCGAAAUUUAAACGAAAAAAAACCAUAUAACAUGUGCAGGUAAAAGUAUAAUUAAAUUAUAAUAAAAGCAGCGUAUAUGCAGCUUAUGUUGAAAUCUAACCAAAUGUUGGUAAGUUAAAUACACUGACGUUGGUAGUUUUC